GGAAGUAAAAGUCGUAACAAGGUUUCCGUAGGUGAACCUGCGGAAGGAUCAUUACCGAGUGAGGGCCCUCUGGGUCCAACCUCCCACCCGUGUUUAUUUACCUUGUUGCUUCGGCGGGCCCGCCUUAACUGGCCGCCGGGGGGCUUCCGCCCCCGGGCCCGCGCCCGCCGAAGACACCCCCGAACUCUGUCUGAAGAUUGCAGUCUGAGUGAAAAUAUAAAUUAUUUAAAACUUUCAACAACGGAUCUCUUGGUUCCGGCAUCGAUGAAGAACGCAGCGAAAUGCGAUACGUAAUGUGAAUUGCAAAUUCAGUGAAUCAUCGAGUCUUUGAACGCACAUUGCGCCCCCUGGUAUUCCGGGGGGCAUGCCUGUCCGAGCGUCAUUUCUGCCCUCAAGCCCGGCUUGUGUGUUGGGCCCCGUCCCCCGAUCCCGGGGGACAGGCCCGAAAGGCAGCGGCGGCACCGCGUCCGGUCCUCGAGCGUAUGGGGCUUUGUCACCCGCUCUGUAGGCCCGGCCGGCGCCUGCCACCAACCCAAAUUUUUUAUCCAGGUUGACCUCGGAUCAGGUAGGGAUACCCGCUGAACUUAAGCAUAUCAAUAAGCGGAGGAA
rnacentral:misc_RNA from 1 species